CGUUCCCAGGCCUUGUACACACCGCCCGUCACAUCAUGAAAGCCGAUUGUACCCGAAGUCGCCCUCAAAAGGUGCCGAAGGUAUGGUUGGUGAUUGGGAGUG
rnacentral:rRNA from 1 species